GCCAGGUGUGGUAGUGGACACCUGUAAUCCCAGCUACUUGGGAGGCUGAGACAGGAGAAUCACUUGAACCCGGGAGGUAGAGGCUGCAGUGAGCCGAGAACAUGCCACUGCACUCCAGUCUGGGUGAAAAAGUGAGAUUCUGUCUCAA
rnacentral:SRP_RNA from 1 species